rnacentral:rRNA from 1 species
GAUGAACGCUGGCGGCGUGCCUAAUACAUGCAAGUCGAGCGAACGGACGAGAAGCUUGCUUCUCUGAUGUUAGCGGCGGACGGGUGAGUAACACGUGGAUAACCUACCUAUAAGACUGGGAUAACUUCGGGAAACCGGAGCUAAUACCGGAUAAUAUUUUGAACCGCAUGGUUCAAAAGUGAAAGACGGUCUUGCUGUCACUUAUAGAUGGAUCCGCGCUGCAUUAGCUAGUUGGUAAGGUAACGGCUUACCAAGGCAACGAUGCAUAGCCGACCUGAGAGGGUGAUCGGCCACACUGGAACUGAGACACGGUCCAGACUCCUACGGGAGGCAGCAGUAGGGAAUCUUCCGCAAUGGGCGAAAGCCUGACGGAGCAACGCCGCGUGAGUGAUGAAGGUCUUCGGAUCGUAAAACUCUGUUAUUAGGGAAGAACAUAUGUGUAAGUAACUGUGCACAUCUUGACGGUACCUAAUCAGAAAGCCACGGCUGACUACGUGCCAGCAGCCGCGGUAAUACGUAGGUGGCAAGCGUUAUCCGGAAUUAUUGGGCGUAAAGCGCGCGUAGGCGGUUUUUUAAGUCUGAUGUGAAAGCCCACGGCUCAACCGUGGAGGGUCAUUGGAAACUGGAAAACUUGAGUGCAGAAGAGGAAAGUGGAAUUCCAUGUGUAGCGGUGAAAUGCGCAGAGAUAUGGAGGAACACCAGUGGCGAAGGCGACUUUCUGGUCUGUAACUGACGCUGAUGUGCGAAAGCGUGGGGAUCAAACAGGAUUAGAUACCCUGGUAGUCCACGCCGUAAACGAUGAGUGCUAAGUGUUAGGGGGUUUCCGCCCCUUAGUGCUGCAGCUAACGCAUUAAGCACUCCGCCUGGGGAGUACGACCGCAAGGUUGAAACUCAAAGGAAUUGACGGGGACCCGCACAAGCGGUGGAGCAUGUGGUUUAAUUCGAAGCAACGCGGAGAACCUUACCAAAUCUUGACAUCCUUUGACAACUCUAGAGAUAGAGCUUUCCCCUUCGGGGGACAAAGUGACAGGUGGUGCAUGGUUGUCGUCAGCUCGUGUCGUGAGAUGUUGGGUUAAGUCCCGCAACGAGCGCAACCCUUAAGCUUAGUUGCCAUCAUUAAGUUGGGCACUCUAAGUUGACUGCCGGUGACAAACCGGAGGAAGGUGGGGAUGACGUCAAAUCAUCAUGCCCCUUAUGAUUUGGGCUACACACGUGCUACAAUGGACAAUACAAAGGGCAGCGAAACCGCGAGGUCAAGCAAAUCCCAUAAAGUUGUUCUCAGUUCGGAUUGUAGUCUGCAACUCGACUACAUGAAGCUGGAAUCGCUAGUAAUCGUAGAUCAGCAUGCUACGGUGAAUACGUUCCCGGGUCU